UACGGAGGGGGCGAGCGUUAUUCGGAAUUAUUGGGCGUAAAGGGCGCGUAGGCGGCUUGAUGUGUCAAAGGUGAAAUCCCUCGGCUCAACUGAGGAACUGCCUUUGAAACUGUCUGGCUUGAGGCCGGGAGAGGGUAGCGGAAUUCCCAGUGUAGCGGUGAAAUGCGUAGAUACUGGGAGGAACACCGGUGGCGAAGGCGGCUACCUGGACCGGUUCUGACGCUGAGGCGCGAAAGCUAGGGGAGCAAACGGG
rnacentral:rRNA from 1 species